CGGCUUUAAAAACUUAACAACAAAAACGUGUGAGAAAUACUCUCUUCAGUUAGACUAUAUGUACCUACACAAAAUGUAUUUUGGUUUCUAAACAAUGGUUUGUAUUACCAUAAAAUGAAGCAAAUGCAUUGGUAUGCAACACAAUUAUUAUGAGUACAGAAUAAAAUGAAAACUCAGAGAGUGUUGAAAAUAAUAGGAUUGGUACUUUAUAUGCAACAUGAAAAUAUAAUUAUCAUGUAAAACAUGAACUUAAAAAUAAUAAAAAAAAAGUUGUUGUUUAAUGAGUCUUUUUAGGUGUAUUGGGACAUUUGCUGUUUGUCAACAUAAAAAGACAGCCAUGGGUAAAAUCAAAGGGCUUGCAUAAAUAAAAUGCGUAUGUUAGUCGACUUUUUAAAUUCAAUAAACGGUCAUACAUCUAACAAGUUCGUGCUUGUGUUUCAAUAUCUAUAAUUCAGUCAUGUUUUCUGUAUCAAUGGUUUCCACGAAUCUUGUGCUUUGGGUAUCAUUUACAGUUUAAAUUUCCUGAGACAAAGUCAUUGCAUAAAUAAAAAAGUCCGCAGUUUUCUAAUCACAGAAAUUUGUGACAUACCGCGAUUUGCAGUCUUGGAAACAGCGUUUUUCUCGUACCCCCAAUAUUUUAUGUCGUUCUCGUUAUCAAUCUUUACUCUCGGAAGAUGAUGUUAUCAUCAUAGAGCAGCGGAAAGGUCGACUUAAUCAUUUUGGUUAGAUUUACUCGAGGUACAAAACCGAAAUCUGCAACAGGAAGCAUUGAAUGAAACGAAAUUUAAACGGUUACCGGUAACGGGAAUGAACAAAAUCCAGAAAUCGUAAAUUUUAUAAAAUAAAAAAAUUCGGGGCGGGGCGAUUUCAGAGGGGCGGGCGGGGAUGAAAAUCUAUCAAUUAAUUUUAAUUGGCCUUA
rnacentral:lncRNA from 1 species